AGACAGUAGCUACAUUUCGGUCCAGAUGACUGCACAGCAGGAGCAGACAAACAUCCAUAGGAGUAAUUGCAAGGAGUUUGUCUUCAUUUGACACAGAAGAAAUCCCAGGGCAGGUCUUCCCCUCAGAAGGAAUGAGGAAAGCAUGUUACCAGCAGCUUUUCAAACUCCUGCUUUUGAUGUGGAUACUUGUGCACACAAAAUGUCCUAUCGAACCCACACGCAACUCCCAAAACGUGUUUUUACCUGUUAAACAGGCAGCUUGACACAGCUUCUUACAAACACACAGCCACAGGAAUACAAUAAUAGUUCACUGGUCCCCAUUACACAAUAAGCAACUCUGAGAUCAGAUUUUAAGAAUGUGGGAUCUGAGAGACAGCCAAGUCUUGUCACUGAGAGAGACAGCAGCUGAAAUUCAUGGAUCUUGUACCAGGUUCACUGGAUGAUACUCGCCCCAUAAAGGAACCUGUCACUUACACGGGAAAAAGUAAGGCCUUUAUUUGCCUCUUUUUUUUUUUUACCUUACAUAAAUACCCUCACCCAUAAUUAUGCCAGAGGAAUAAAGCAGUUGGAUGUUAUAUGAACUGCACCUGGGGGAGGGGGGGGAAAAAAUGCCCCAAGAAGUGUGUAUUUCUGUAUUCACCAGAAAGCCCAUUCGCUCAAUGAAACGGUGUAGUCCAGAGUAAGAAAACAGCUUGCGCUUUCCUGUGCUCAAGCAAAAUAAUUAUAUACCUUGUGUUGCAUUUUUACCCUCAGAAGCACGCUGAGGAUGCUGAAUGGUUAGGGAGUGAUGUGAAUUAGCAGCAGACACUUGAGAAGCUGGCUGCCUCGGAAAAUAAACACCAGAGGAGGCUACGAGAAGAUAAAUACUUAAAUGAUGUUUUGCUAAACAAGGCAGGCGAUCUCAGUGGAUAAAUGGGGAGUGCACCUGUGGCUUCUUCAUGAAGCAUUCAAUCAGUUGCAGCAAUCUUAGCUGCCAAGCCCUUAAAGUGUAC